GUGGGGAAUAUUGCACAAUGGGCGCAAGCCUGAUGCAGCAACGCCGCGUGAGGGACGACGGCCUUCGGGUUGUAAACCUCUUUUAGCAGGGAAGAAGCGAAAGUGACGGUACCUGCAGAAAAAGCACCGGCUAACUACGUGCCAGCAGCCGCGGUAAUACGUAGGGUGCAAGCGUUGUCCGGAAUUAUUGGGCGUAAAGAGCUCGUAGGCGGUUUGUCGCGUCUGCUGUGAAAACCCGAGGCUCAACCUCGGGCCUGCAGUGGGUACGGGCAGACUAGAGUGCGGUAGGGGAGAUUGGAAUUCCUGGUGUAGCGGUGGAAUGCGCAGAUAUCAGGAGGAACACCGAUGGCGAAGGCAGAUCUCUGGGCCGUAACUGACGCUGAGGAGCGAAAGCGUGGGGAGCGAACAGGAUUAGAUACCCGGGUAGUCC
rnacentral:rRNA from 1 species